GAUGAACGCUGGCGGCAUGCCUUACACAUGCAAGUCGAACGGCAGCACGGGUGCUUGCACCUGGUGGCGAGUGGCGAACGGGUGAGUAAUACAUCGGAACGUACCUUAUCGUGGGGGAUAACGCAGCGAAAGCUGUGCUAAUACCGCAUACGCCCUGAGGGGGAAAGCGGGGGAUCGAAAGACCUCGCGCGAUUAGAGCGGCCGAUGCCUGAUUAGCUUGUUGGUGGGGUAAAAGCCCACCAAGGCGACGAUCAGUAGUUGGUCUGAGAGGACGAUAAGCCACACUGGGACUGGGACACGGCCCAGACUCCUACGGGAGGCAGCAGUGGGGAAUUUUGGACAAUGGGGGCAACCCUGAUCCAGCAAUGCCGCGUGAGUGAAGAAGGCCUUCGGGUUGUAAAGCUCUUUUGUCAGGGAAGAAACACCGGCUCUAACACAGUCCGGGAAUGACGGUACCUGAAGAAUAAGCACCGGCUAACUACGUGCCAGCAGCCGCGGUAA
rnacentral:rRNA from 1 species